AUGGCUGAUCUCUGUACCAAGUUUACCUUGUCCGGAUGCCACCGGUUUUACCCUGAGUUUCCAGAUCACUGGUAUGAUCUGAUUGAAGCUCCUGUCCGUGUGCCGAAGUUCACCCCUCGCAAGAAGCACAACCGUGCGUAUAGGUCCCGCCAUGGCCAUGUUAUCAUUGGUUUCCAGGUAAAUGAAGACACAGAGCAGCUGUUCGAGGACGAUGGUGUGGAGGAAGAGGAGCAGCUGUUCGAGGACAAUGCUGUCGAACCAAUUCCUGUGAAUGAAGUGGAGGGGGUCGCCAUUGAUGAGGAUGUUCCAGAGCUGGGAAUUGAGGACCAGGCAGAGGAGGAACAUGUCGAGGAUGAUGACGUGGAAGCAAUAAUUCUGAAUGAGGUCGCCCCCAUUGAUGGCGGAGAUGUUCCUGAGGAAUACACUGAGUACGAGGGUGGCCUUCUUGCGGCUAAGCUUGGUGGCGAGGACGGCGACAAGGUCGGGCUUUAG
rnacentral:rRNA from 1 species